rnacentral:pre_miRNA from 1 species
AUGGGAAUCACUCAGGCAUGACUUGUUAAAAAUGCAGAUUCUGAUUCAGUAGGUUUGGGGUGGGGCUUAGAUUUCUGUUUGUCUAACCAGUUCCCAUCUGAUGCUGAU